rnacentral:rRNA from 1 species
CCUACGGGAGGCAGCAGUAGGGAAUAUUGCUCAAUGGGGGAAACCCUGAAGCAGCAACGCCGCGUGGAGGAUGAAGGUUUUCGGAUUGUAAACCUCUGUCAGCAGGGAAGAACGGUCACUGUGCUAAUCAGCAGUGAAUUGACGGUACCUGCAAAGGAAGCACCGGCUAACUCCGUGCCAGCAGCCGCGGUAAUACGGAGGGUGCGAGCGUUAAUCGGAAUUACUGGGCGUAAAGCGCUCGUAGGCGGUAUGUCAAGUCAAGGGUGAAAUCCCCGCGCUCAACGUGGGAACUGCCUUUGAAACUGGCAAACUGGAGUGUGUGAGAGGAUAGUGGAAUUCCAGGUGUAGGAGUGAAAUCCGUAGAUAUCUGGAGGAACAUCAGUGGCGAAGGCGACUAUCCGGCACAUAACUGACGCUGAGGAGCGAAAGCGUGGGUAGCAAACAGGAUUAGAUACCCCAGUAGUC